GAUGAACGCUGGCGGCGUGCUUAACACAUGCAAGUCGAACGAUGAAGCCCAGCUUGCUGGGUGGUUUAGUGGCGAACGGGUGAGUAACACGUGAGUAACCUGCCCUUAACUCUGGGAUAAGCCUGGGAAACUGGGUCUAAUACCGGAUAGGAGCGUCCACCGCAUGGUGGGUGUUGGAAAGAUUUAUCGGUUUUGGCUGGACUGGCGGCCUAUCAGCUUGUUGGUGAGGUAAGUGCUCACCAAGGCGGCGACUGAUAGCCGGCCUGAGAGGGUGACCGGCCACCAUGGGCCUGCGGCACGGCCCAGACUCCUACGGUAGGCAGCAGUCGGGAGUAUUGCACAAUGGGCGCAAGCCUGAUGCAGAAACGCCGCGUGAGGGAUGACGUCCUUCGGGUUGUAAACCUCUUUCAGUAGGGAAGAUGCGACAGUGACGGUACCUGCAGAAGAAGCACCGGCUAACUACGUG
rnacentral:rRNA from 1 species